CCUACGGGAGGCUGCAGUAGGGAAUCUUCCACAAUGGGCGAAAGCCUGAUGGAGCAACGCCGCGUGGGUGAAGACGGUCUUCGGAGCGUAAAACCCUGUUUUUAGAGAAGAAAGUGCGUGCGAGUAACUGUUCACGUUUCGACGGUAUCUAACCAGAAAGCCACGGCUAACUACGUGCUAGCAGCAGCGGGAAUACGUAGGUGGCAAGCGUUAUUCGGUUUGAUUGGGCGUAAAGGGAACGCAGGCGGUCUUUUAAGUCUGAUGUGAAAGCCUUCGGCUUAACCGGAGUAGGUCAUUGGAGACUGGGAGACUUGAGUGCAGAAGAGGAGAGUGGAACUCGAUGUGUAGCGGUGAAAUGCGUAGAUAUAUGGAAGAACACCAGUGGCGAAAGCAGCUCUCUGGUCUGUAACUGACGCUGAGGUUCGAAAGCGUGGGUAGCAAACAGGAUUAGAUACCCUUGUAGUC
rnacentral:rRNA from 1 species